CUUGAUUGCAUUUUCUAUACAAUCAUCCAACUUCUUGGGGAAAAUCCUGAUGUCCUCAAUUAUCAGUCUAAUAUCCUAUCAGAUCUUUCUUGUUGUGGUAAGUAAUGUUGUUGAUAUUAUUCUGAAACCAUCUUGUUGACCUUCAAGUGGGUUCGAUCGCAUCAAGCCUCUGCUAUCAGAGGUGACUGACAAAAACAUUUCCUGACACCACCGCCGAUGAGGGAGCCUACCGAAUUCCUGCAAACGAAAGCAAUAGUAGCCUUGUCAGUUAUCAUAUUAAUGAAGCAGAUAUCAUGAAGUCCAGCUAUUAGGGUUGCUAUUGGUCUGUAGAUGGUUAGAAGAAGACUAUAGGAGCUUGAGCAUAAUGAAGAGGGAUCUGCUUUUGUGAUCUUCUGGUUUUUUGGACUGUCCUUGUUGGAUGAAUAUGAGCUAAUUUAGACAAAAUAUUCUUUCAUGCCAACGAAAUAGCCCAGCAAAUAUCUGCCAGGUUGAUUUUAUCUUCGUGUUGGUUGCUAUUCAGAAUAUUGAGAAGCUCCCUCCACUAAUCAUUAAAAGAGAGAAAUUGAAAAUGGCAAAAAUCGACACCAAAAUUUGCAACCAACCAAGUGGCCUUUGGCGUGGUUAUAAAAAAAAAAGCUUGUAGUUGAUUGUCUUAGGUUCCUCCUGACCAUACACAAGGAGGAAAGCAAUUGGAGGGAUUAUAUUCUCUUCUGUACAGAUUGUUUGUAACUGCAAUUGCAUUUUUAAAUUUUAAAUGCAUCUCCAAAGAAAGGUCCUCAGCUUGGAUUUUCAGAAGUUUUUAGAGUGAAUGCCUGAG
rnacentral:lncRNA from 1 species